rnacentral:rRNA from 1 species
GAUGAACGCUGGCGGCGUGCCUAAUACAUGCAAGUAGAACGCUGAAGGAAGGAGCUUGCUCUUUCCGGAUGAGUUGCGCACGGGUGAGUAACGCGUAGGUAACCUGCCUGGUAGCGGGGGAUAACUAUUGGAAACGAUAGCUAAUACCGCAUAACAGUAGAUGUUGCAUGAUAUCUACUUAAAAGGUGCAAUUGCACCACUACCAGAUGGACCUGCGUUGUAUUAGCUAGUUGGUGAGGUAACGGCUCACCAAGGCGACGAUACAUAGCCGACCUGAGAGGGUGAGCGGCCACACUGGGACUGAGACACGGCCCAGACUCCUACGGGAGGCAGCAGUAGGGAAUCUGCGGCAAUGGACGGAAGUCUGACCGAGCAACGCCGCGUGAGUGAAGAAGGUUUUCGGAUCGUAAAGCUCUGUUGUAAGAGAAGAACGAGUGUGAGAGUGGAAAGUUCACACUGUGACGGUAUCUUACCAGAAAGGGACGGCUAACUACGUG